GCGGCGCCAAACAGAAUCUUUGCGGCAACCCCCAUCCCCAAGCUCCCCUCCUCAUUAGGCCCCUUCACCACAAGCUCCCUGAAGGCGAGCCCUAUGGUUCCUGAGACGCCAAGGUAGCCAGUGACGAAGGCAACAGCCAUCCAGGUGCGCCCUCGCAGCAGCUCCCGGCUCUUCGCCAGGGCGGCGAGGCCGUAGAGAGGCUCGAGAACAGACACGACGCUAGCGAGAUGCCACCAGGCAGAGAUGUAGGCGUG
rnacentral:misc_RNA from 1 species